UAGGGAAUCUUCCGCAAUGGGCGAAAGCCUGACGGAGCAACGCCGCGUGAGUGAUGAAGGUCUUCGGAUCGUAAAACUCUGUUAUUAGGGAAGAACAAAUGUGUAAGUAACUAUGCACGUCUUGACGGUACCUAAUCAGAAAGCCACGGCUAACUACGUGCCCGCAGCCGCGGUAAUACGUAGGUGGCAAGCGUUAUCCGGAAUUAUUGGGCGUAAAGCGCGCGUAGGCGGUUUUUUAAGUCUGAUGUGAAAGCCCACGGCUCAACCGUGGAGGGUCAUUGGAAACUGGAAAACUUGAGUGCAGAAGAGGAAAGUGGAAUUCCAUGUGUAGCGGUGAAAUGCGCAGAGAUAUGGAGGAACACCAGUGGCGAAGGCGACUUUCUUGUCUGUAACUGACGCUGAUGUGCGAAAGCGUGGGGAUCAAACAGG
rnacentral:rRNA from 1 species